GAUUAUCACAAAUUAAUGAUGCUCGAUCGCACAAAUUCAGUGGGUUUUGUUUUAUCGAACAAAAUCUGCUUAAUAUGCCGAAAAGUUGUGUAGUGGUUGCCUGCCAUAAACACAAUAGUGCAGAUAAGAAACGAUCGUUCUUUGAGCUGCCUAAAAGACACAAAAUACCAGAAAGACGCAACAAAUGGUUAGCGGCUAUCAAGCGUGUUAAUGCAGAUGGGUCAGCGUGGAGUCCCUCAAAAAGUUUGACCAUUUGUUCAGAUCAUUUUGUGACUGGAUGGGAUGCGUGCAGUGAGCAGAAAGCAACAAACCUGUGCAGAGGAGGGAUGCUGUCAACGGUUUUGAGGCUGCUGCGUGUUGACACCACGUUGAAGCUGUCGCUACAGUCACAGGACACGUGCAGGUGAUGUCUCGGGUGCCUGUUUUCCACCAUGACGAUAAGCCCUGCCCACCCAUGCGUCAGGUAGUAGCAAGUCAUCCCCUCUCGACCCUAAGAAAACCAAAGAUUCAGGGUCUGUAAUGAACUGGAUGAUGGCGUCUGCGAUGGUGGUGUUGGAGGCUGUUACCUGCUCCACCAUCACCAGUCUGGAGCUGUAGACGGCCAGCAUGUAACCAGGCACCUCGGAUCUGCCGCAACUUGCUGAAAACACACCACAAUGAGGACGGAACCACUUCUGAAACAACUGAGGUUUUAUGAUAAUUUAAGUUUUUUCAAGGAGUAGGUCAUUCACUUUGUUUUUAAUCAGUGUUAUCGGUGGUCUUACUUGCACCAUCCGUGACGGAGCUGUGCCAGUGGUUAAAGGCGCAGCAGAGCACUGCAUACUCGCCCGGCUCC